CAGAACGAACGCUGGCGGCAGGCUUAACACAUGCAAGUCGAGCGCCCCGCAAGGGGAGCGGCAGACGGGUGAGUAACGCGUGGGAAUCUACCCUUUUYUACGGAAUAACGCAGGGAAACUUGUGCUAAUACCGUAUGAGCCCUUCGGGGGAAAGAUUUAUCGGGAAAGGAUGAGCCCGCGUUGGAUUAGCUAGUUGGUGGGGUAAAGGCCUACCAAGGCGACGAUCCAUAGCUGGUCUGAGAGGAUGAUCAGCCACAUUGGGACUGAGACACGGCCCAAACUCCUACGGGAGGCAGCAGUGGGGAAUAUUGGACAAUGGGCGCAAGCCUGAUCCAGCCAUGCCGCGUGAGUGAUGAAGGCCCUAGGGUUGUAAAGCUCUUUCACCG
rnacentral:rRNA from 1 species